rnacentral:sRNA from 1 species
AAAAGAAAUCACAAGGUCAUCUUCAGAAGAAAAAAAAAGGCACACUCCAAAGUAUUCUAAAACUAGAAAGAAGGCUUCACAUUCAUAAAUAUGUCUGAUACUGGACAUGCGUGCCUUUUAAUAGCUGGACACACACACAGCAUCAUAGCGCCUUGCCUUCCUUCCUGUACCCCUGCCUUUUGUCAUCCCCUAGAGAAGGGACCACAGGACAGGGCUCACUCUGAGCUCACCUGAGCAUUCCCCUGCUUCUGUGCCACGUUUUGGGGCUGGAGCAAAAGCUUUCUCACUUGAUGUGGUAGAGAGGGCAGCGAGAAUUUGGCAGAGGAAAUGAAAAGAUUGGAAGUGUGACAGGUUCAUCUAUGCACCUCCCAGUCAGGAGAGCAAACCUCAAAACGGUGGCCGAGUCUUGUUUUAGAGGGAGAUGUACCUUCAUUUUUCUCUCCUCACUCAUUUAAGUAGCGGCCUUCUCAAGACAAAUGGCACCCUCAUGUACUUCCUGCUAGGAAAGCAGGACUCUAAAAUAAGCAAUGGUCUUGGCUGGAGAAGAGAGGCUGUGGCUCUCUGGAAGCUGGCUCCUCUGAUCCUAAAGAACUGAAGGAAAGCCUGCAGCUGAACCUGUGCUAUUCAGGCCGUGGCCUUGCGAGUCCCUAGGAACCUGUGCAUAGGUCACAGUUUAGCACAUGUGGGCUCUGUGAUAGACAAUGUUUUGGAGCAAAUUGUGUCCUGGCAUGCUGCCUACAUGGUCUUGGAUACAUAAUUCAACUUUACUCUCCCUUCUGUCAAGGAGUAGAAUUUACAGGGCACUAUGAAGGAAUCUGUGUACAAAUCAGUGUGUAAAUGAUUCCUAUUAGUGUUUUCACCAAGGAGAAUGGGGGAGCCACAGAAUAUCAUGAGGGGGGUUCUAAAGUGUUGCUCAGGAGUUUCUUAUACCAGAAAUGGAGCAGUUCCUAAAAAGACUUACGCGCACAGGUAGAUGAGUGUAUUCAGUAUAGGUAGGCCAUGUACACCAGCACUCAACACCACCAACACAGUGGUCCAUCUGACAUUGUCAGUAGGGCACACUAGAAGGCAACCACGACUCAGGCUGAGCACAGACCCUCUCUGAGGGUCUCUCUCCUAGGGAGAGAUGAGUCAGCUCUCCUAGGGCUCACUCAUCCACACGCAGAAGGCACAGUGCACUAGAGGCGGUAGAGAGCAGUACAGCCAGCUCCUCCCUCUGGGCUGAAUGCCAAGGGUGGCUUUCCGGCAGGGACUCCAUGUGUGGCCACCCAGAGCUCCGUUAAGAUUUGUGCGGCUCUGCUGUCCUGUUUCUCUCCCUUCAUAAAAAUCCUAUGUAUUCUCUACACAGUCAGAAUCAGCGUUAAAGCCACUCAAGGUUUUAAUGCACCCGUCCCUGCGGUUAGUAGACAGCCCUCCACACCGGGACAGUUACUGAAGACAUCUUAAAGAAGAAGAAAAAGGAUCAUGUAGUCAAAUUUUCAGUUAUUGCUAUGUAUCCUGAGAAUACUGUUUCAAAGUUCCCAUUUUCAAGUAAGAAGAGGGGUCAAUAUACAAAUCGAAAGUUCCUCAACUUAUUUGUUCUUCAACUCAAGAAAUAAAGACAACAUCGAGGGUUCAGAGACUUAUAAUGGAAACCAGAUGAACUUUUGCUGUGCAGCCAAAUCCCGGGAAGGCUGGUCUUAAAGGCUCUAUCAUCAUAGAGAACCAAUCUGUCCAACAAGGGAAGAAUUCCAGGCUCUAACCAGCCUGUUAGAAUCUGGAAGGAUCUGUGGCAAGGAUAGCUAACCCACACUUUUCUGGCUAGCAAAUGGGGCACACACAUCAGGCUGAAGUGUGUGUAGGGGUGGGGCUAUCAUUUUUCUAUGGGAAGGAGAAAUCUAAAAAUCUAACUGAAAAGAGUCUGUUGGCUUUGGAGUGGAAAUCUCUGGGUUGUCACUAGAGGGCAGUGUGGGUGCAUUUCUGGAGAUGGCAGAUGGGUUGGGAGACCAUGACUUUUCAGUCAGGAUUUGCCAGUUUGGAAACAGUCAUAGCUGAAUAGCAACGGAGGUAUGUGUGUAAGUGUGUGUGUGCAUCAAAAGAAAAUUAAACCCACACUGACGCCACCAUGAAAAUGAAAUCAUACUGCUUGAA